GCUAUGCGCAAAAAGUGCAGGAUGAGAACCUGCUGCAGGUUCGACUGAAUCGCACAGCGAUUCAGGCUGUCACCCGAAGGGCGAGGCCCGCCGGGCUGAAGACUAUCCUGCACGACCCACCA
rnacentral:sRNA from 1 species